CAUCUGUUCAAGUCCCUGCUUUCAGUCCUUUUGUGUACACGUCCAAAAGCUGAACUGCUGAAUUACAGGCUAAUUUCAGGUGUAAGCCUUUAAGGAGCAGCCAUAUCGUACUCCCCAGUGGCUGCAACACUGGACUCUCCCACAGGCAAUGAGCAAGUUUCCGGUCUCUCUACAUCCUUGCCCACAGCUCAUCAUUUCCACUCAGAGGCUGUGAAGAGAGAACAGCUCAGUUAUCAAGGGAGGAGAGCGAGUUGGCAGAAGCUCGGCAACACAGG
rnacentral:lncRNA from 1 species